GUUUCGCCCAUCGCUGGAGAAAACUGGAAGAGUUUUUAGAAAAUAGGUGGUGUAAGAUUAACAAAAGAAGAAAAGAAAAACACAGUAAUGACCACAUUGUUAACAGAAUUCAAAAGCAGAGUCAGAAAAAGUACCUCCGAAGCCAUAUGCCAGGCCCUCAACAAACUGUAGAUGUAACUAUGGUGACACUCAAUGAGGGAAUGAGCCCUAUGUAAGGACUUGGGGUUUCACACUGGUGCAACUGACAGAAAAAUGCAGUUGCAGUUACACUCACACAGCAUGGUGGCUUGUACCAGAACAUUUUUCUCUUCCUAGGAGAAGCAGAAUAGAGAACUGCAAGCUAAUGAAAUACUCAUCAAGCUGAGAUAACUAGGAAUAAACAACAACAACAAUAAUGGUGAUGAUGGCAGCAACAGUAAUAACAAUAACAGUGGAAUUCACAUUGAUUUUGUGUUUUAAUAUAAAUAAAACUUUCUAAACAAAAAUA